rnacentral:rRNA from 1 species
AUUGAACGCUGGCGGCAUGCCUAACACAUGCAAGUCGAGCGAGCGGCGGACGGGUGAGUAAUGUCUGGGAAACUUCCCGAUGGAGGGGGACACCUACUGGAAACGGUAGCUAAUACCGCAUACCAUCAGAGAUGCCCAGAUGGGAUUAGCUAGUAUGUGGGGUAACGGCUCACCUAGGCGACGAUCCCUAGCUGGUCUGAGAGGAUGACCAGCCACACUGGGACGGAGACACGGUCCAAACUCCCACGGGCGGCAGCAGUAGGGAAUCUUGCACAAUGGGCGCAGGCCUGAUGAAGCUAUGCCGCGUGUAUGAAGAAGGCCUUCGGGUUGUAAAGUACUUUCAGCGGGGAGGCGUUACCCGCAGAAGAAGCAACGGCUAACUCCGUGCCAGCAGCCGCGGUAAUAC